CAAAUAGUCUUGCAACAACAUCAAAAAAACAGGAAAAAUGUGCAUUUGUUAUUGUUUUCCCUUGCUAUCCAUGACCCAUCAAAACAGACAUGGGAUCCAUUUUUUGGGUUGCGAUCCAACAUUACAUGCGGUAAAGCAAUGACAUCACCCCUCUUCCUGUGCAAAUGACCAGCACUUCCUUUAAUGGGCCAGAUCUCUCACAUCAAAAUGCAUGAGGGUUGUUAUGAUCCGCUCGUCUCCUCAUGUGAUCCCGCAUGACAGUGAAGAUGGGAAAAUUCCCUCUCUCAUGUGGAUGUUGGGUGUAAUCUCUUCAUCUGGAUGUGUCACUGACAUACAGUAAGAAAAGCCCUGAACAUUGCAGACUUUCAAAAAGCUUUGUGCGGAUAAAUCCGGAGAUGAUGGGUUCUAGCCGGCGAUUGAAAGCAGGAGACACAAAAGCAGCCUCCAGAUGACACUUUACACUAAGGUAAGAGAGGGAACCCACUCAAAGCCUCGAUUGACCUCAGGGUCAAUCAGGUGAUAAUCACCCUCUUCGCAAGGCCAUAGAUCUGGUGAGAGCUGGAAUAGAGAGGAAAGAGAGGAGUCGAAUGUAACGAGGAAAGUCAGGUGUCCUUGUUUUGCAAGUAUAGUUCAUUUGUGGAAAUCUAUUCACAAUCUGAAUUCUGGUAAAACUGUGUUUUUAUAAAAGUAUAAACAGAACAUCAGCUUUAAACAGUUAAUAUCAUGUUUGCAAAAAUAUGCAUCCAUAUGGAUUUGCUUAAUGCUAAUGGUGUGUUCAAAGUCAUUUGUCGAAACAAUCUCUAUUCUCACUUAUAUUAUAGACUAGAUAUUCAGUAGUGCUGGCAUAAUAGUUAAAUGCAAUUAAUUGCAUCUAACAGAAAAGUUUGUUUAUAUAAUAUUUGUGUGUGUACAUAAUGUAUCGUGUGUGUGUGUAUAUAUAUGGGUUAAAGACGUGACAGGUCAUUUUUUUUGUCUA